rnacentral:rRNA from 1 species
UGAGCAAUCUGCCCUUCUCUUCGGAAUAAGCGUUGGAAACGACGUCUAAUGCCGAAUACGACCUCCUUUCGCAUGAUCGGAGGUGGAAAGCUCCGGCGGAGAAGGAUGAGCUCGCGGCCUAUCAGCUAGUUGGUGUGGGUAACGCCACCAAGGCGACGACGGGUAGCCGGCCUGAGAGGGCGACCGGCCACACGUGGGACUGAGACACGGCCCAGAUUCCCGUACGGGAGCAGCAGG